CCCUAGCCCCGAUAGCAGCGGUAUCCUUUUUCUUACUUCUUUAGGAAGAAAAAGAUAUAGCGGAUAGCGGGAAACAGC
rfam:Flavobacterium sp. ov086 genome assembly, contig: Ga0070134_117